UGGGGAAUUUUGGACAAUGGGGGAAACCCUGAUCCAGCCAUCCCGCGUGUGCGAUGAAGGCCUUCGGGUUGUAAAGCACUUUUGGCAGGAAAGAAACGUCGCGGGUUAAUACCCCGCGAAACUGACGGUACCUGCAGAGUAAGCACCGGCUAACUACGUGCCAGCAGCCGCGGUAAUACGUAGGGUGCAAGCGUUAAUCGGAAUUACUGGGCGUAAAGCGUGCGCAGGCGGUUCGGAAAGAAAGAUGUGAAAUCCCAGAGCUUAACUUUGGAACUGCAUUUUUAACUACCGGGCUAGAGUGUGUCAGAGGGAGGUGGAAUUCCGCGUGUAGCAGUGAAAUGCGUAGAUAUGCGGAGGAA
rnacentral:rRNA from 1 species